rnacentral:misc_RNA from 1 species
UCCGGCUUAUCACCGGCAGUCUCCUUAGAGUGCCCAACUAAAUGAUGGCAACUAAGAACGAGGGUUGCGCUCGUUGCGGGACUUAACCCAACAUCUCACGACACGAGCUGACGACAGCCAUGCAGCACCUGUGCAGCAGGCCCCUUGCGGGGAAAGCGCAUCUCUGCGCCGGUCCUGCCCAUGUCAAGGGUAGGUAAGGUUUUUCGCGUUGCAUCGAAUUAAUCCACAUAAUCCACCGCUUGUGCGGGUCCCCGUCAAUUCCUUUGAGUUUUAACCUUGCGGCCGUACUCCCCAGGCGGUCAACUUCACGCGUCAGCUUCGUUACCAAGGAAUUGCUUCCCCGACAACCAGUUGACAUAGUUUAGGGCGUGGACUAC